rnacentral:rRNA from 1 species
AUUGAACGCUGGCGGCAGGCCUAACACAUGCAAGUCGAGCGGAUGAAGGGAGCUUGCUCCUGCAUCCAGCGGCGGACGGGUGAGUAAUGCCUAGGAAUCUGCCUGGUAGCGGGGGAUAACGUCCGGAAACGGGCGCUAAUACCGCAUACGUCCUGAGGGAGAAAGUGGGGGAUCUUCGGACCUCACGCUAUCAGAUGAGCCUAGGUCGGAUUAGCUAGUUGGUGGGGUAAAGGCCUACCAAGGCGACGAUCCGUAACUGGUCUGAGAGGAUGAUCAGUCACACUGGAACUGAGACACGGUCCAGACUCCUACGGGAGGCAGCAGUGGGGAAUAUUGGACAAUGGGCGAAAGCCUGAUCCAGCCAUGCCGCGUGUGUGAAGAAGGUCUUCGGAUUGUAAAGCACUUUAAGUUGGGAGGAAGGGCAGUAAGUUAAUACCUUGCUGUUUUGACGUUACCAACAGAAUAAGCACCGGCUAACUUCGUG